UUCCUUUACCCUUCAUUUCUGUUUACCUAAAAAGAGUGAUGCAAUAAAAAAGUUAAUAUAACUUUUAAAACUACUUUAGCACUCGGAAACUCCAGACCACCUUGUAUUUUUAAUAAGAGAGUAUUUAUGUUAUUAGUGUGACAGCUUUCACAAAUCACAGCAAACAUUAAGAAAUGAAUUCUCUGUUGUAAAAUACAGCAUCGGUCACCACUAAGCAAGGGCACACUUUUUUUUUCCUGCCCUGUAGCAACUCUUUUCAAUGUUAAGAAAAGGUGUUGAUUAGCUUUUAUUUAUACUGUACAUAUUUAGGGUACCCAACUGAGGGGCCAGACUCAUUUAUCUGUCAUACUUGGCAGGCAGUUCAAGGGAAUCAGAAUUGUAACAGAAGAGCACUGAACGAUUGAGAGUCACCUAAUGCUCUACCCUCCCUCUACUCAGUGAAGUGCAGGGCAUGGAAACAUGAGUGUUUUCUGAAUGACCCCUUUUCCUCCACCAUGGGGGUGUUUUAUCUUUUCUUCAAACCUUCAUAUACAUGGGCACUUACUCUGUGUGAGACAGUAUUCCAGAAGUUGGUGAUACAGUGUUGAACAAAACCAUCAAGAUUCUCUCCUCAUGGCACUCACAUUCUAUGAAAAGAGACAAUAAAAAUACAAUAAGCAAACAGGUAAGUAAGACCAUUGCAGGCUGCAGUAAUGGCUUUGGAGGAGACAGGAUGGUGUGCCAAAGAAUAACAGAAUGUGAAUGGGGAGUGAGCAGUAAGUUAGAUGGUCUGGAGGCCUCUCGGAGAAGGUGAUAUAUGAACUGAAAUCCAAAGAAUGAGGCAGAACCAUGUAUACAGAAAGACAGGAAAAGCACAUAUUGUGAUAGUCCAUAGUAACAAUUAUGUUUUAUCCAAAAUUCUAUUGGAUUUAAAGUUACUGGGCACAGAGACUUAUUUACUGGCCUUUCUAUGUCUAGCAGCAUCUGAAUUGGGUUUUCAGGUAAGAUUUGCCCCAGGAAACACUUGCUAAAUUAAAUAGAUCAAUCUUGAUGGCAGUAGUAGGAACUAUCAUAAGGUGGUAUUCUGCACAGUUCUUUGAGUGAUAGUCCAAAAUACUAGAUGUUAAAACUUCUGAAAUAAAGGAUUAAUGUUUGGUUGGAUCUGUUUUCACACAGUUGUGCUUGUAUCUUUUAAGUAGAACAGCACCUGAAUAAGAAAGCAGGCAGACAACUGAGUGAUGCUUAUACAAUAGAAGCUGUUUAUUAAGUUAGUCAUUUUGUGCUAGAAAACAUGUAUGAUUCAGAUGCUAUCCUCUGAGCACAGACAAUCUGGUUGAAAGUCUCUUCUGUAGGUCAAGGUUAAGAGAUUCACAAUAUUUUUGCAUUGCAUUUUGGCAUAUAGAACAUGUUAUUACUUAAUUAUUCUCACUUUACCCCCAAGAAUUGUACCAUCGUGACUUAAGUGAAGGGAAGAAAAUACUUCUUGCUUUUCUAUUAGCAUAAAACCAGGGAAUGUGAAAACUGGGAGGAGCUAAGGAGAGAGGAAUCAUUAUUUAUCACCUGGAGUGAGACUACAUGAAUUCAUAGUUCUGCUACUGACAGACUGUGAUCAGGGGCAAAUGAUGUAACUUCCCUAUGAUUCAGUUUACUAAUUUGUAAAAUGGGGAUCAUAACACUAGUGGCCAUGGAGUGUCAAUGAAUUAAUGCAUGUAAAGUGCUAUGAAAAGAGUUUGGCCCAUAUAAUGGUUAAAGAAGGUGUUUUAUGUCAUUGUCUUGUUUAAAGGUCUCGGAAUUCCCAUGGGCGAGAUUUAGUCCUCAAAUGAGUUGACUGGCUGGCACAAUGUUUCAGAAUUUUUUCAGAGUUGCCAACACUUGGAAAUAGAGUUACUUCAUAAACAACUAGAUUUUCUGCUUGGUUUUUGAAAAACUAAGAGGUCAGCCAACACUGGGCUCACAUACUCACGUGGAUUACUAAUCCAUGAGCUUGGCCAUCCCUUUUAUUCUGAACCUGUCCUCUCUAAUUUCUUAUAUUGGCCACCAUUCUCCAUCACAUCUCUCAUACUGACAGUCUACCCAUUGCUUUUAACAACCUGCAAGUAUUGGAAUUUACUGUCCCUUUCUUUCCAGAGCAGAAGAGUUCUGACAGAUUUUGUAUUUGCAUUGGAUAUGCCAAGCAGGGGUGAGGAACAGGCAGACACUUAGAGCAGUUGCAGUGAAAAGCAUUCCUUAGCCAACUGUACUCUCUUAAAAUUGAAACCCUGUAAAGCAGAUAUGUCAAAGUCACAACCCAGUUAAUAUUACAUUUAAAAGGAGGCUUACAUAAUAGUUUGUAUCUUGAAUAUCUCUAUUGAAAUGUCGCAUCCAUUAUCUCCUUGCAGUUACUUCUUGAAAACAUUAACUCUGUUCAGUUCAAGCAAUGUUUAUUGUUUAGCAUGUACCAGGCACUUCUUCCAUUAACAGAGGACAAAUAUGAUUAAGUCACUGUCCUUCUCUUAGGAGCUUAUUGUCUAAUGAUUGAGACAAGUCAGAAAAAGAUGUCAACAUGUAUGCCAAAGUGUUGUCUUCUGUUUCUCUUUGACUCAAGGGGAGCUUAAUGUCACCCCAAAUCCAUUCCCAAUAUGAGACUGUGAAGUGAAUUUUACUUAAUAAAUAUAAAUAUUUUAAAACCACAGAGGUUUUCAUUUGAGCCAUGCAUUUUGUAAAGUGACUUUUAUCUUCCAAAAUCUACGUUUGAUUUUUACAUAAAUGGCAACAAGCAAACCACAAGGAAAGGCAACUUCCCACCCUCUGUUUUCCAGCUUUACUAAUGAAGGGGACUCAUUUUGAACCACAAAGUAGAAUAUACCUUGUUGGGAAAUGGUUUCAGAGUCCUGUUAAAUGUUAAAGACAUGCUGGCAGUUGGAGUUUCCAUAAUGUAAUCUAAGCAGUCAUUUCCUGGGAAGGUUCCAAACUUGCUGAGUCAUUAAUUUAGCAUACCAGGUUACAGAACAAAUUCAGCCUCUAGAAAAGCAGGGUAUUUUAUCCAUGUAAGUAGGUGUUCAACACAUACAGUUUUUACUUUGGCUGUAAUUUCAAAUGAAUACAGUUAGCAUAAGAAUACUAUAGGCACCUCACAAAACUUAAAAUAAUUAAUCUCUGUAACCUUUAUGUAAUCUCUAAUACUGGCUUUAAAACUCAGCUUUCAUCAUUUUUCUGCUCUCCUGUUCUCUUCUGUCCAUGAUGUGAUAUAUCACUGAAUACAGAAAUGAAGUCUUUAUACUUUGUAUCAAGUAUAAUUUGCCAAGUCAAGUCAUUUCCAUACACACACACACCAAUACCAUACUUUGCAGUUAUCUUGGGGCUCUCACAAAGGUUUCACACCUGUAACUUGAUCUAAACUCCUCCAGUCUAGAAAAGAACAGUUCAUAAUAUCAAGAGCUGAUGUGGAAAUGUAAGUUUUUAGAAGUACCCCCUCCUGCAUGUGCUUGCCAUAAUUAAGGGAAGUUAAGAUCUGUUCUGUGAGUUCUGAGCCAUGUUUUUCUCUGAACAUAAUAGUGAAGCAGAACGAGACAAAAUGUAGCUGUGCCCUUUCCAGAGCAUUUCACCUUUUCUCCCUUUUCCCAUAAAAAAUGAUCAUUCAGCAGGUUGCUCGGGUUCACUAAAUACACACUGUCAAACUGGAACAGCAAGUAACAGUGGAAAUUAAUUCAAACACCAUUUAGUUUAUCUAGUAAAACCUUCACUAGUGUUGAUAGGUAAGGAAGAAUUUUCUCUUUACUAAAGUUAACUUUAAAGAAAGAUCUUAUUUAAAAUUCUAAGGGACUGUGCACAUUUCAAUUCUACAAAUAAGUAAAAAGAAUAAAAUGAAGUAAGUUAAGGAAAAAGUAAAACAAUACUAUUUCUCUUUAUUUUAGAUGAUAACGUGUCACAUGCACAAAAGCCUGGUUGUUUAAGUCAACAUUACCCUUUACUUUGACUCACCACGAAGUCUUAUCAUGUUGAAGUUCUCGUAAAGACCAAGUUAGCUGGCUUUAGAUCAAUGAGAAUUUGUUAAGCAUCUAUUUUCUUUACCAAUUUCUAAAUCUUGCCUACUCUGUAACUUGAUGCAACAAACAAAAUACUGUAAUUAUGGCUUUCCGGUCUAUAUACCUUCAAAUAAAACUUAACCUAAUAAUUAAAAUGACAUUUUUUGGCUUAAAAUAGUAACUGAAUAUUAAUUACUAAUGAAAAAUGUAUUGCUGUUCUGAAAAUCCUUAAGAGUGUUUGGUUUGUGUUCACAUCAUUAGAAAUAGUUUCAAAGGGAUUAUUAACAAGAUUACAGAAAUGUUAGUUCUUAAACAUUUCCAUAAACUAUGAUAAAUGUGUGUUACAGGGCAUGGCUUUAUUUCAUAGGCUUUUGUUUUUCUGUUUGUUUUAUAAUCUGUUAGGUAUCAAUAAAGGCCUUGUUUUGCA